GUGUUGUAUGAACAGAGAGAAAGCCAGUGGCCCUCUUGAAGAGGCUAGAAGAGGCCUGCAGACCUAAGAACAUUCUUCCGGCAAAGGCUUUGCCAGCUUCUUUGUAGCAUGUAGGCCGUGCUUUGU